rnacentral:lncRNA from 1 species
GAGUGAGGGAAGCUACCUGUCAGCAUGAAAUAAAUGUGGGGAGCUGGUGAGGACAGGAUUCAAAACAGGCUCACUCUCUCUGCUAAGACAGACAACACCCACACCCACUAGAGGAGUCUAUACCCAGAGGAACCUAAACUCUGCUGUCUUGGAAAGGAGUCAUGACCAAAGAGAUUGAGACUCUGGGAUUGGUCCUUCAGAACGAGAGUUUCAACUACCAGUGUUACAGUAACCUCAUCAUGGACUCCUGGGCCUACACAGACAGCCUACUCACCUACGACCAGUGCAAGGUAGUGUGUGUGUGUGUGUGUGUGUGUGUGUGUUAUACCACCCGUUUUAAGUUCAACCUGUCUCCUUUGUAUGUGUUGUACAGAAACAACUCACUGUUGUCUCUCAUGUUCACAGACACCCAAAGAACAGAAAAUGGUUGCAUGCAGCCGAGGCAGCAGUAUGUACAAGCCAGAGAGGUAAGAUUGAUAUCUGGAAAAUAUAUGGCAAAUAGAAAUCCAAAAUGGAUGAUGUUGAGAGACAGAUGGGAGGGGUUGAGUGGAGCUGAAGGGUGGGACUGGAUGAUGUUGAGAGAUAGAUGGGAGGGGUUGAGUGGAGCUGAAGGGUGGGACUGGAUGAUGUUGAGAGACAGAUGGAAGGGGUGUGUGGAGCUGAAGGGUGGGACUGGAUGAUGUUGAGGAGACAGAUGGGGGGGGUUGAGUGGAGCUGAAGGGUGGGACUGGAUGAUGUUGAGAGACAGAUGGGAGGGUUGAGUGGAGCUGAAGGUGGGACUGGAUGAUGUUAAGAGACAGAUGGAAGGGGUUGAGUGGAGCUGAAGGGUGGGACUGGAUGAUGUUGAGAGACAGAUGGGAGAGGUUGAGUGGAGCUGAAGAGUGGGACUAGAUGAUGUUGAGAGACAGAUGAAGGGGUGAGUGGAGCUGAGAGGGUGGGACUGGAUGAUGUUGAGAGACAGAUGGGAGGGGUUGAGUGGAGCUGAAGGGUGGGACUGGAUGAUGUUGAGAGACAGAUGGGAGGGGUUGAGUGGAGCUGAAGGGUGGGACUGGAUGAUGUUGAGAGACAGAUGGGAGGGGUUGAGUGGAGCUGAAGGGUGGGACUGGAUGAUGUUGAGAGACAGAUGGGAGAGGUUGAGUGGAGCUGAAGGGUGGGACUGGAUGAUGUUGAGAGACAGAUGGGAGGGGUUGAGUGGAGCUGAAGGGUGGGACUGGAUGAUGUGAGAGACAGAUGGGAGGGGUUGAGUGGAGCUGAAGGGGGGGACUGGAUGAGUGUGAGAGACAGAUGGGAGGGGUUGAGUGGAGCUGAAGGGUGGGACUGGAUGAUGUUUAGAGACAGAUGGGAGAGGUUGAGUGGAGCUGAAGGGUGGGACUGGAUGAUGUUGAGAGACAGAUGGGAGGGGUUGAGUGGAGCUGAAGGGUGGGACUGGAUGAUGUUGAGAGACAGAUGGGAGGGGUUGAGUGGAGCUGAAGGGUGGGACUGGAUGAUGUUGAGAGACAGAUGGGAGAGGUUGAGUGGAGCUGAAGGGUGGGACUGGAUGAUGUUGAGAACAGAUGGGAGGGGUUGAGUGGAGCUGAAGGGUGGGACUGGAUGAUGUUGAGAGACAGAGGGGAGGGGUUGAGUGGAGCUGAAGGGUGGGACUGGAUGAUGUUGAGAGACAGAUGGGAGAGGUUGAGUGGAGCUGAAGGGUGGGACUGAUGAUGUUGAGAGAGACAGAUGGGAGGGGUUGAGUGGAGCUGAAGGGUGGGACUGGAUGGAUGUUGAGAGACAGAUGGGAGGGGUUGAGUGGAGCUGAAGGGUGGGAUGGAUGAUGUUAAGAGACAGAUGGGAGAGGUUGAGUGAGCUGAGGGUGGGACUGGAUGAUGUUGAGAGACAGAUGGGAGAGGUUGAGUGGAGCUGAAGAGUGGGACUGGAUGAUGUUGAGAGACAGAUGGGAGAGGUUGAGUGGAGCUGAAGAGUGGGACUGGAUGAUGUUAAGAGACGAUGGGAGGGUUGAGUGGAGCUGAAGGGUGGGACUGGA